rnacentral:tRNA from 1 species
GGUGCGGCGCCGGACGAACGGAUAACUUUGAUGACGUUAAAUAAGGAAUUUUUCCCCGUGCCU